rnacentral:tRNA from 1 species
GGAGAGAUGGCCGAGUGGUCGAAGGCGCUCGCCUGCUAAGCGAGUACACGGGCUAAACCUGUGUCGCGGGUCCGAAUCCCGCUCUCUCCGCCG